GGUCCCCAUAGUACGUAGAUGCAGUCGAGCGGAAGAUGGGAGCUUGCUCCCUGAUGUUAGCGGCGGACGGGUGAGUAACACGUGGGUAACCUGCCUGUAAGACUGGGAUAACUCCGGGAAACCGGGGCUAAUACCGGAUGCUUGUUUGAACCGCAUGGUUCAAACAUAAAAGGUGGCUUCGGCUACCACUUACAGAUGGACCCGCGGCGCAUUAGCUAGUUGGUGAGGUAACGGCUCACCAAGGCAACGAUGCGUAGCCGACCUGAGAGGGUGAUCGGCCACACUGGGACUGAGACACGGCCCAGACUCAUACGGGAGGCAGCAGUAGGGAAUCUUCCGCAAUGGACGAAAGUCUGACGGAGCAACGCCGCGUGAGUGAUGAAGGUUUUCGGAUCGUAAAGCUCUGUUGUUAGGGAAGAACAAGUACCGUUCGAAUAGGGCGGUACCUUGACGGUACCUAACCAGAAAGCCACGGCUAACUACGUGCCAGCAGCCGCGGUAAUACGUAGGUGGCAAGCGUUGUCCGGAAUUAUUGGGCGUAAAGGGCUCGCAGGCGGUUUCUUAGGUCUGAUGUGAAAGCCCCCGGCUCAACCGGGGAGGGUCAUUGGAAACUGGGGAACUUGAGUGCAGAAGAGGAGAGUGGAAUUCCACGUGUAGCGGUGAAAUGCGUAGAGAUGUGGAGGAACACCAGUGGCGAAGGCAACUCUCUGGUCUGUAACUGACGCUUAAGAGCGAAAGCGUGGGGAGCGAACAGAAUAAAAUACCCUGGUAGUCCACGCCCGAAACAAUGAGUGCUAAAUGUUAAGGGGUUUCCGGCCCCUUAGGGUU
rnacentral:rRNA from 1 species